UAUCGGAGAAUAAUUUCUCUGUCCUUAAUCACCUUACCACCGAUGAGGCUAGGUGGUUGGCGGAAAC
rnacentral:lncRNA from 1 species